UGUGCUUCUUGGCCUUUUGGCUAAGAUCAAGUGUAAUAUCUGUUCUUACCAGUUUAAAAGGUCAUUUUGUGGUAGAAUUCUGAAAAUUUG
rnacentral:snRNA from 1 species